rnacentral:lncRNA from 1 species
AUUUCAUUAUUCUGAUGUAACAAAAUUAAGUACUUCAUUUGUAAGAAAAUUUUUGUGUAUGAUUUGGAUUCUUGUGCUUUUAUCUAUGCACCUCUUUUGUAAUAUAUAUUUCUAUAUUAAAUUUAAAAGCAAAUAAUAAAAUUUCAAUGAGAGUAAAUAAGAAGCGGGAAAUAUUGAGGACAAGGUAUAUGGAAAAUCAUU